rnacentral:rRNA from 1 species
UACGGAGGGGGCUAGCGUUGUUCGGAAUUACUGGGCGUAAAGCGCACGUAGGCGGCUUUGUAAGUUAGAGGUGAAAGCCCGGGGCUCAACUCCGGAAUUGCCUUUAAGACUGCAUCGCUAGAAUUGUGGAGAGGUAAGUGGAAUUCCGAGUGUAGAGGUGAAAUUCGUAGAUAUUCGGAGGAACACCGGUGGCGAAGGCGGCUAUCUGGACCGUAACUGACGCUGAGGCGCGAAAGCGUGGGGAGCAAACAGG